UGUUAUGUAAUCAUUAAUAUCUGUAAACUACGCAUGCACAGAUAUACAGGAACAGGACUCUUAACACAUUCCUUCAACAAAGAUAUGAGUUGUCUUAUCCUAAUUCAAUAAGAACUUAAGAAAAGCCAAAAAAUCAAAAAAUGGUGUGACUGAUGAAGUGUCCUAUUCUGAAAAUAUCCGUAACGUUCUAAAAAUAGAGUCCAAGGUAGAAGGAGGUUGUCCUGUGCUCUUAGACAAGGAGCAGGCAUUAGUUAGAAAGGGCAUUCUUUGUAUUUGGAGAUAGGAUGAUAAGCUGCUCACUUUCUCCAGGAAGACAAGAAGGAGGCAGAACUUUUGCUUCCUGUUUUCAAAGCAUUUCCUAGUGACACAGAGAGUAGAGAAGAAAGGAAAAGAGGGAUACCGUCUGUUGAAAGAGAACGGGUUACUCUCACUCGCUAAAUGUAGGAUACAUGAACAUGCACUCCAUGAGUAUCCAGAGUUACGUUUUCUCAGUUUUGGUCUUGAGAUUGAUGAUGGUUCACAGAGUCAGUCCAAGCAGAAGUUGAUAUUUAUUGCAAUGUCAGCGGCAGAGAAGGCACAGUGGAUAGCUGAUAUUGCUCAGUGUAUUGAAAAUGAGAAACAGAAUAAAAUACUUCAAAGCCAGAGUCAAGGGGAACCUGUUGAGCUCAAUUCAAAGUUUAUGCGAUACAGCACAUUUAGAAGCGGAAAAGAGCAACUGGUAAG